rnacentral:rRNA from 1 species
GACGAACGCUGGCGGCGUGCUUAACACAUGCAAGUCGAACGGAAAGGCCCCUUUGGGGGUACUCGAGUGGCGUACGGGUGAGUAACACGUGAGUAACCUGCCCUUGACUUCGGGAUAACUUCAGGAAACUGGGGCUAAUACCGGAUAGGAAUCCUUGCUGCAUGGUGGGGGUUGGAAAGCUUCGGCGGUUUUGGAUGGACUCGCGGCUUAUCAGCUUGUUGGUGGGGUAGUGGCUUACCAAGGCUUUGACGGGUAGCCGGCCUGAGAGGGCGACCGGCCACAUUGGGACUGAGAUACGGCCCAGACUCCUACGGGAGGCAGCAGUGGGGAAUAUUGCACAAUGGGUGGAAGCCUGAUGCAGCAACGCCGCGUGCGGGAUGACGGCCUUCGGGUUGUAAACCGAUUUCAGCAGGGGCGAAGCUUGUGGUGACGGUACCUGCAGAAGAAGCACCGGCUAACUACGUG